rnacentral:rRNA from 1 species
AUACGGAGGAUGCGAGCGUUAUCCGGAUUUAUUGGGUUUAAAGGGAGCGUAGGUGGGAUAUUAAGUCAGCUGUGAAAGUUUGGGGCUCAACCUUAAAAUUGCAGUUGAUACUGGUUUCCUUGAGUACGGUACAGGUGGGCGGAAUUCGUGGUGUAGCGGUGAAAUGCUUAGAUAUCACGAAGAACUCCGAUCGCGAAGGCUGCCCGCCGGCACCGAACUGUCACGGUGCCUCGAAACUGCGGGUAACAAACAGGAUUAGAUGCCCUGGUAGUCCGCACAGUAUACGAUGAAUACUCGCUGUUUGCGAUACACGAUAAGCGGCCAAGCGAAAGCGUUAAGUAUUCCCCCUGGGGAGUACGCCGGCAACGCUGAAACUCAAAUGAAUUGACGGGG